ensembl:lncRNA
CUUCCCUGAGCUCCUCCCUUCCCCGUCAACACACCUCUCUGUGCUCUCCUCCCAUCUCACUUCCUCCUCUCUUCCCUGAGCUCCCUCCCUUCCCCGUCUACACACCUCUCUGUGCUCUCCUCCCAUCUCACUUCCUCCUCUCUUCCCUGAGCUCCUCCCUUUCCCGUCAACACACCUCUCUGUGCUCUCCUCCCAUCUCACUUCCUCCUAUCUUCCCUGGAUCCGUUCCUUCCAUUCACCAAUCACCUCCCACAAAUAGGUCAGGAGCUGGUGGGGUUGUUAAAGUGGAACUGCAUUGAUUUAUGCAGUAUGGGAUUUUACGAAGCAUGUUCCAACAGCUCAAAAUCCAAAACGGCCAGUGGUAACUAAAAAUGACGUGCACAUUCCAGUUGACCGAUAGGGCACAGCCAUCUUGAGCGUCACGACCAUGGUCAAUGGCAAUCAGUGUCGGGACAAUGGCUUGUAGCUACGAAGCGCCAAAGUCCAUCUGUUGCCCUGGAUUCUGGAUUUCCAGUGCACACUUCAUUGACGAGAAUUAGAAGAGAAAGUUCAAUGCCUCUGGGAUGCAAACAAUGUUUUCAGAUUGGCUGCAACUUCGGAAUAAACGCGUGGUCUUGUAGCCAGCAAAUGGGCAUUGUGGAUUGCGUCAGGAUCUGUAUAAUUCAAUCGCAGCAGCCAGAGAUAUACUUUAGUGCUUUUAAACAACUGGUUAGUUAACUAUUUUGUCACCUCUGGGGCUAACUAAUCUCUAUGGGCAAAACUAUAUUUCCUGGUUUAAACGGAAACAGCGAUUGGACCACCGCAACGAAUGGGUUGAAAUGCAUAUGCCUUGGGAUGAACAGGGACCAUUUCAAUGAGUCAGUCUUCUCCCAUUUCAAAAAGUACCACCGUAGAUGUGCGGCGUUGAGACGAGACGCAGUCGUGGAGGUCAUUUCAAAAAUGAUGAUGCAACUCGCGUUUCAUGUACAUAUUAGGCAUUACAGAACAUACAAUAUGAAUUUUUAUGGUAUUUUCUAUUAUUAAAUAUACAUAUCACAACUUGUUAUGUCUUAGUUGGUAGAGAAUAGUGCUUGCAAUGCCAGCGUUGUGGUUUCAAUUCCCACAGGGGACAGAAUGAGAAUGAACAAGUACGAAAACAUAAUGCAGUCACUACUGUAAGUCACUGAGGAUAAGAGCAUCUGUUAAAUGACUAAAAUGGAAAUUUGAAGUGAGAGUGAGAUGGAAGGCUCAGAGCAGGCAGAGCUCUCUCUCAUCGACUCAGGAUCUGAGGGACGCCGGGUCUGUGAGACGCCAAUUUAACAGGCUGAGCAGUAAAUACAUACACGCAACACACCUGUCAGGUCUCCGUGGAAGCCUGCCUCUGUUCCUCCGCUCUGCUCAUCUGACUGUUGUAGGACACGGAGACCAAAGGGAGGCAGGAGCAUUGGCUAGAAUCCCUGUUCUCACCGCCAGGACUCCUGUUGGGGUCAGGGACUGACACAGAAAAACACAAGCACAAUGUACACACACAUGCUCUCACAUACAAUAUUAUAGCAUGCACGAACGCGCGCACACCCAUACACACACCCAUACACACACGCAUACACACACCCAUACACACACCCAUACACACACGCAUACACACACGCAUUCACACACCCAUACACACACCCAUACACACAAAGCACUGAUGGGGACACAAACACACAUAGUUAAAGACAAACGGAGGCUAUUUUAGUGCUCUCUGCGUAUGUGUAGGAACAAAAGAACAGGUUGGUACGUCAGAAAGACACCCAAAGAUAUAAACAAGAAAAAAGACAGUCCUUCAAUAAGUAGGAGACAAAGAGGAAGAGAACAGGACAGAAAGUGAGUGAGGGGGGAUUUGGAGAGGGAGAGAGAGACCAAGGUUGCUGGAUGAGGGAGAGAGAGAGACCACGGUUUGCUGGAUGAGGGAGAAAGAGAGAGACCAAGGUUGCUGGAUGAGGGAGAGAGAGACCAAGGUUGCUGGAUGAGGGAGAGAGAGACCAAGGUUGCUGGAUGAGGGAGAGAGAGAGACCACGGUUUGCUGGAUGAGGGAGAAAGAGAGAGACCAAGGUUGCUGGAUAAGGGAGAGAGAGACCAAGGUUUGCUGGAUGAGGGAGAGAGAGAGAGACCAAGGUUGCUGGAUGAGGGAGAGAGAGACCAAGGUUGCUGGAUGAGGGAGAGAGAGAGACCAAGGUUUGCUGGAUGAGGGAGAAAGAGAGAGACCAAGGUUGCUGGAUAAGGGAGAGAGAGACCAAGGUUGCUGGAUGAGGGACAGAGAGAGAGACUAAGGUUUGCUGGAUGAGGGAGAGAGAGAGAGACCAAGGUUGCUGGAUGAGGGAAAGAGAGAGAGACCAAGGUUGCUGGAUGAGGGAAAGAGAGAGAGACCAAGGUUUGCUGGAUGAGGGAGAGAGAGAGAGACCAAGGUUUGCUGGAUGAGGGAGAGAGAGAGACCAAGGUUUGCUGGAUGAGGGAGAGAGAGAGAGACCAAGGUUUGCUGGAUGAGGGAGAGAGAGAGACCAAGGUUUGCUGGAUGAGGGAGAGAGAGAGACCAAGGUUGCUGGAUGAGGGAUAGAGAGAGACCAAGGUUUGCUGGAUGAGGGAGAGAGAGAGAGAGACCAAGGUUGCUGGAUGAGCGACAGAGAGAGAGAUGCAGCAGAUGAUAGGAAAGAUAAAACAGACACCAGCACAAUUAGGCGUUCCUGCUGUGUCUCUCACUGAAGCUGGUUCACUGGCCAGCUGUAAGCUCCAGCCUCCCCUACUGCACACUGCAGAUAGCUUCAUGACGGCUCUGUGCACAACUGCGCAUACACACACACACACACAACAGCCCCAGCACACACAUUGCAGCGUUCAAGUUAGCUCAGAGCAGACACUGCAGCUUUCAUGUUUACACAGUUCAGUCCUGCAAACAUGCGCACACACACACACACAUACACACACACACACACACACAUAUAUUCUUUCUGCAGUACUGAUAGCGCUGGGGCGUUCUCCUUCAGCAAGCAUGAGUACACACAGUACAGAGGUAGAAAGACAGGAGCGAGAGAGGGAGAGAAAGAGGUAGAGAAAAAGAGGGGGAGGUAGAGUGGGAGGCAAAUGAAGAGAAGAGACACAGACACACUGCACCUGCAGAAAACACAAGUAUACACCCACACAGUUGAAGAGCAUGCUGAACAUUAUCUUUGUGUCCUUGCUUUGCAGUGAACAGCUCUAAUGGGUGGUUUGUAUGUGUCCUCCAGGCUUUGUAAAUAGAACCACCACCCAGGUCCAGUGAGAAUCACCUAUGCAGCGUGACAGCCAGGACAUCCCGCCUCCAACCACAGCUGACCAUGAGGAUGAGUCAUGAGAGGACAUCAUGACAGACAAACGCAUCAGCCAAUCGGGACGUAGGGGCUCCUCUUAGGCACCGAUGAUUGCAGCAAUACAGGCACAGGACAGCAGGUCCAUUAGAGAAACCCACAUAGCCCCGGCAACAGCCCAUGAUAACCAGACAGACAGACAGACUGACUGACUGCAGUGUGUUCACAGGCUUUCCACAGCUCUGUCUGUUUCUGACGUCUAGAUACAUGACAGCCAUGGUUACUUAGAGACCAGCCCUCCACGGAGAGAGGGGGACGCAGUGUACUGCUCAGCAUCUGGAAUGGUCCCUAUCAUUCUUGGACAACUGGUGAACUGUGAUUGGUCAGACCAGGUCCUCUGUGGCUACGCUGUCUGAGUUCCAAGUGUGUGUGUAUGUCGGGGGUGUGUGUGUGUGUGUGGGUGUGUGUGUGUGAGAAGAGAGCGUAUCAAGAUGUCAUGCGUCAUAAGAUGCCGCCCCUCCACUGGAUGUAUUUUAAUGUGCGCUUAAGUGUUAUACAAUUGUACAUGGCGUGCUUCAACAGGUUCUAAAUAUGAUUAUGAUAUUGAGAGAAAAAAAAUAACAGUAUUUUAAUAUAACGCUCUUCUUCCGAGAUGUAUUUGGAUGUGCAUAUUAUGGCUAUACGACCCCACUGAGUCAAUGUGGAUAUCUGUCCUGCUUUGUGUUCAAUAAAAAAAAAAGAUAGGAUAAAAAAAUAAUAAUAAUCCACAUCAAUAGCCACACCAUCGUAGUACUUAGAACACAGGCCUAAUAUGCUGCUUCAUUCUGAGUGGGUUGUGAGCUGGUGUGGAUAUUGGGUCAAAGUUCACGCAGUCAAAGUUCAGCCAAUGUGCACACAUAACAUGAUGCACAGUAGAUGCCACAUCACCAUGAAGGUGAAGGAAAGGUCAGGCCCUAGGGCCCGGGCUAAUGUCCUCUCUCACGGUACAUCUCAUCACAGACCCCCAUUGAUAUCGCCGCUGUUCUCCAUCACCGAAUGCAAGGCUGCUUUUACCAUAGAAGUAACUGGGACACGACUCGGAACGGAUUCUUAGCACUGUCUCUAUCCUCCCAGUGUGUUCGUAACGUAGCCUCCAUCUAACUACAGCAUCCGGUCAGCUGACACACUCAGCGAGCAUCCAGACAGGAGCAAGUCACCCCACCGCCAAACCUCUCGUUGUUCUAUUGCUCUCAUUAUUUAAUGGUGUACAUAGUAUUUGACGCUGUUUAAAUGGAAGACGUGAUGUACUAAUAUAAUUGUGUAUAGUAUUUCCUAGAGAUGUUUAUUUUCUAUGAAAUGUUAUUGCUUAUAAAAUGUUAUUAAAAGAAUCCAUAAAAAAUUAAAAGACUUUUGGGAAUGUCACUGGUUCUAAGUUGAGCAUGCAGUUUCUUUUUCAUGUUUCUCUUGUUUUAAAUCGAUGACACUACAUCACUUUGUUUGAAAUGUUUUUGUAACGCCGAUGUCAAAUAUACCAGCACCUUUCAAUGCU